GUCAACGGCCAUAUCACGUAGAACGCACCUGGUAUCGUCAGCUCCCAGAAGUUAAGUUACGUCGAGUCCCGUUAGUACUGGAAGGGGAC
rnacentral:rRNA from 1 species